rnacentral:rRNA from 1 species
UAGCCUUGACAUUGAUUGAACACUUUAGAGAUAGAGUGGUGCCCUUCGGGGAACAUGAAAACAGGUGCUGCACGGCUGUCGUCAGCUCGUGUCGUGAGAUGUUGGGUUAAGUCCCGCAACGAGCGCAACCCUCGUCUUUAGUUGCCAGCAGGUUAAGCUGGGCACUCUAAAGAGACUGCCUUCGCAAGGAGGAGGAAGGUGAGGACGACGUCAAGUCAUCAUGGCCCUUAUGGCUAGGGCUACACACGUGCUACAAUGGGGCGUACAGAGUGUUGCGAUACCGCGAGGUGGAGCUAAUCACUUAAAGCGUCUCUCAGUUCGGAUUGGAGUCUGCAACUCGACUCCAUGAAGCUGGAAUCACUAGUAAUCGUAGAUCAGCAAUGCUACGGUGAAUACGUUCCCGGGUCU